UCCAAGAGAAGCUGUUAACUUCCAGAGAUACAUAAGUCUUUUAGGGAGAAAAGGAAACCUUCAAUUUAACUAAAUAGGAAAUGUAGAUGAAAUCUUGAUAUUCUUUGAUACGCCAAAAAUUAUAAAGUCAAUCCUAAAUGUGCUAAAGCAGUCAGGAUCAUGAGCAUAGAAUAUAAAAAGCAGUAUUUUUCUGUUAUGUAACUGCAUAUGCCUGGAAGCGAUUCAGGAGAAGAUUUGGGUCCUGAAUUAUUAAGAAUAUUUGUAUAUUCUCCAGGGGCAGGAAGUCUUAUUACAUAGCUGAUGUCCAGAGGCCUCUAGCCUAUAAAUAGGGUGUCUCACUUGUCUCCUAAAUUCUAACAAUGAGCUAAAGGAGGAGAGCGAGAGCUAAAGGAGGAGUAAGAAGGAGAUGCUAAGAGGAGAGAAAUGAAUAAAUGGCCUCUAAUAUUUGAGAGUCUGCCAGAAAAGACAGCAAAAAGACAUUGAAAUAAGCCACGAAGGUGUUCAAAGUGUAAAUGCAAGCUUCUGAGAGGAUUUUCCUCAGACCUCACCCUGAGAACCUGCUGGUGAUUGUGGCUAUUUCUUCUAAGCCUUACAUUGAAUAUCUCUGAAAGCUGGACCCAUUUUAGGAGCAUCUCUGAAGCAGAAUGAAGACUGGCUGGUCAUCCUCCAUCUGGGUUUCAUUCUUUUGCAUGUAUCUGUCCAACUCGCAUAGGAGAUGAAACUUGUCAAUCAGCCUGGCCUGAGCUCCUGGUUGUAUCUCAAAGCUUUGUGAUGGUCCAGGUCAUCUUCUUUGUUCUUAGUGGUUCUCAGUGGUUGAGGGUGUGCCAAGACCAGACAGUAUCCCAAGCGAGGAUCCCAUUCGGUACCUGGAUGAAGGCUGACUGGAAGCCGGAUCCUCAGGCAGCAGCUGGGGACGAAUGUACUCACUCCUCUUCCAGUGAGAAACAAGGGAAUAGGCACUUUUGCUUGCCUUUCUGCACUGGGCCCUGGUGUAUAGCCAUGGCUGCUGCUGUGCCUGUUAAGAAAUGCU